AGAGCCGGGCAGAGAGGGCUGCGGGGCAGGCUGGCCGCGGGCUGUGCCGAGGAGGUGGGGGAGCUGGGGGAAGCCAGAGAUUAAAAAUUUGAUGCCACUGCCCUGAUACAGAGCUAACCUGAGGUCUGUGCAUGCCUUGAGACAUCAAAAUACAGGUAAAGCAGCAUACAAAGCUUGUUCUGGUUCCCUGUGUGGGAGGGAAAGAGGGAAGGGUUUAUGUUACCCAGCUUUCAUGCAGAGCUUUGGAUCACUUGUGUCCAUCACAUGAAAAAUUUGUCUUUGUCCUCUCUCCUCCCUCAGCCCCCUUUUUGCAGGGAAAACCCGAGGAAGCACUCGGGACUGCUUCCUCUGGUGUUGAGCUUUGCCAGCACCACAAGCACAUUCCUCCAGUGCCUGCAAACACAGUGACCUUCCCCAGAGCUGUGGGGACAAGGCUGUGAACUCUGCUCAGAGCACAGGAGGCCUCUGCCUGUCCCAGGAGAAAGGCCCUGCAGCAGGGCAGUACCUGCCCAGGACUCCCUGCGAGCACCUAGGGAAACCAUCCGUGCUGGCAGUUGCUGCUCCACACAAAUGCUGUGACAGAAAGGACAAAAUAACAUCUUUUUGUUUUCUGCUUAGCCAGGGUGAUUUCUUUGCUCUCCUUCAGCUUUAUUCACCUGGGAAUGUUGACUUUUUUUAGCCUGUUUGUCCCGUUUCUUGCCUAACAGCAGCUCAGCUAUCCUGCCCCAAACACUGCUCUUACCACCUGUGGAUUGGAAAGGAGAGAGUUCCUCGAGUCAGGGAGCCAUUCCAACCAAAUGGAGGCAGACUGGGAGAUCUUGGCUUGGAGUGAGUUUCCCAAGGAGCACGACGACAAGAGAGAUGUGAAUUGUUAAAUUCUGUCCCAAAGGAUGAGCACGUGUAAGACAGUAACUCUGCAAUGCAGAAAUUGUCUUCACCCUCCCGCCUGAUGCUUUCUCCUCUCUGAAAGCCUGACUUGUUGAAAGCAUCACUUAAUAAUAAUACAAGGAGCAGCUUUUCUCCUCCCUCAGAACUUGGCAGGAGCAUAAAUACACAGUAAGGGAAAAGAGGAAUCAAAAACUUAACAAUAGGAAAGGGAAAUAUAACGGUGUAAAGUGGCCUGCACCCUCAUAUUUUAAUUUCCACCAUAUGCCCCAGAAAAGCUGGGCACAGCAAAACCUCAAGAUUGAUAUGCAAAGUGUGUGAGCUGGUUGCAAUAGCUGCAACACAGCGCAUGCCUAGGUGUUCUACACCUCACACACAUAUCACCACCUAGGAUUAGGAUUCAAAUCACCUGUCCUCUGUCGCUAAUAAAAAUGAAAUAUAUUAGGGGAACUUUGAAUACAGUGGCUUGACAGAGCAUGUCGUGUCUCAUGUGUGAAAAAAACACGACAAGCACACAAUCAAAAAGCAGCUCCCAUUUUUGUGGCACAGGAUUUUUCUGUUUCAGAGACCAGGACAGCCUGAACCCUUAAACUCCUGCAGCUCCUGAGAGUGCAGUGAGAGGUGAGAUCAUCACUCACUGCUACAAGGAAGAAAAUCAUAUAUUUUUAUGAGACAUCCAGGUUUGCUUUUUGUUUUCCUUUUUGAUAUGUGCAGAACAUCAGCAAAGCAUGAGAAGCAGUGCUGUACUUUGAGUGGUCCUUCCCCUGCCACAGCAGAACACCACCCUGGGGUGGAAGGGUGGAAGUUGUCUAUACUGGCAUUUACAGGUUUGCCAGGGUUUUCACUGUAAGUCUAAGCCAUCCUAGCCUAAGAUCCAGAUACUGCAAAGGCUUCUGGAAAACAGAGACAGCCAGUAUAUAAGCAUGUCUCUAGAGACCUGACACGGUUGGCAGCUUUUUCAGCCCACCCUGGGCUCAGGAAGCAAGAAGCCAGACAGAUUUUAGGGUGGAAAGUGAUAAGCAAUGCUCCAAAUGAGAUGCAAACAAAAGACAGGGACUUCCAGGCACAACAGGUUAUUUUGUUCUGUGUGAAUGGCUUCCAUUAUUGACACAAAGAUGGACAUUACCAGUUCAAUCACUAUUGGAAAUUGUGUCCCUUCCUUGAUUGAGGGUAUAAAACUAAUUCAAAAAGGUAAAUCACAGCUCCAGGUGCUGGAGAAAGAAAUAUUGUAAAGCCUGUUCAGUAUGGAUUCAUGCAACAAACAGCAAAUGCUUCAAAAAUUGCCCCAACUUCCAAGAAGAAUGCUUGAGGAGGCUGUAAACAGCCAAAUCCCAGGCACCCUCUGGGAAAAGCCCCAUAGAGUUACAGAAUUACAACAAAUGUGUCUCAAAUCUGCCACCUCAACAGGUAACCCUGAUGUUGGUUUCUCUGGAGUGCCCUCUUCCUGCUGAAUUGUCAGACUGUUGGUGGAGGAAGACAGAAGAGGAAGGACUGAAUGUGCCACUGCUUGUGCCAUGAUCUGCAGAUAGUGUGAGGACUUUGCUCCUUAUGACUGUCCAUCUGGCGCCAUUCCUGAGCAAUAAAAGCUCACCCACAAAGUAUUUUAAAGCAAACAGUUGGUGUAAUGAAUACCUUAAUAGUACUAAUACAAUACUACAAAUAGUAACUACUAUAAAAAUACCCACUCAGUGAAAAGAGCCCCGGUUCACUGCCCAGCUCCUUCAGAGAGCAGGAGACAGGACCCACAGAGGCUGUGAGUAUAUUUCGCAGCAGGGUGACUUCCUCUGCCACUCGCUCUCAAGUAAUUCCCCAUGGCUAAUCCAAGCACACCUGCACACCUUCCAGCAGAAGAGGUGUUCCAGCAACACUUGGACCUAAUGAGAAAGUGAGCUGGCCACCAGAAAUGGGUGUGUGUGCAUAGGAUCAGGCACCACAUGUUCUAA
rnacentral:lncRNA from 1 species